GAUAGAGCUUAGUUGGUAGAGUGCUUGCCUUGUAUGCACAAGGUCCUGAGUUUGAUCCCCAGCAUAACA
rnacentral:tRNA from 1 species